CGAGUUGCAGGUAUAUGUCACCAAAUGUAAGGGCACCUUGUUAGCUGCUCUUGCAAUUUGAUAAAUUGAAUGUUUUUUAGUAGACUUUUUACUUAAGAACCAAAUGAAAGACACAUACUUGUGUCCCCACUGCGGGAUGCACGGUACGAGUCUUGCCCGUAAACUGUUUAAGUGGAGAAGGGUAGAUGAGCGAGCCCAUUGUUACCAAGUUUCAAAGUUGAAAACAACUGAUUUUUUGGUCAUCAAAGAAAGAUGACAGUGACAUGUUUG
rnacentral:misc_RNA from 1 species